rnacentral:rRNA from 1 species
CAUGCAAGUCGAACGAUGAUGCCCAGCUUGCUGGGUGGAUUAGUGGCGAACGGGUGAGUAACACGUGAGUAACCUGCCCCUGACUCUGGGAUAAGCGUUGGAAACGACGUCUAAUACUGGAUAUGAUCACUGGCCGCAUGGUCUGGGGGUGGAAAGAUUUUUUGGUUGGGGAUGGACUCGCGGCCUAUCAGCUUGUUGGUGAGGUAAUGGCUCACCAAGGCGACAACGGGUAGCCGGCCUGAAAGGGUGACCGGCCACACUGGGACUGAAACACGGCCCAAACUCCUACGGGAGGCAGCAGGGGGGAAUAUUGCACAAUGGGCGAAAGCCUGAUGCAGCAACGCCGCGUGAGGGAUGACGGCCUUCGGGUUGUAAACCUCUUUUAGUAGGGAAAAAGCGAAAGUGACGGUACCUGCAAAAAAAGCACCGGCUAACUACGUGCCAGCAGCCGCGGUAAUACGUAGGGGGCAAGCGUUGUCCGGGGAAUUAUUGGGCGUAAAGAGCUCGUAGGCGGUUUGUCGCGUCUGCUGUGAAAUCCCGAGGCUCAACCUCGGGCUUGCAGUGGGUACGGGCAGACUAGAGUGCGGUAGGGGAGAUUGGAAUUCCUGGUGUAGCGGUGGAAUGCGCAGAUAUCAGGAGGAACACCGAUGGCGAAGGCAGAUCUCUGGGCCGUAACUGACGCUGAGGAGCGAAAGCAUGGGGAGCGAACAGGAUUAGAUACCCUGGUAGUCCAUGCCGUAAACGUUGGGCGCUAGAUGUAGGGACCUUUCCACGGUUUCUGUGUCGUAGCUAACGCAUUAAGCGCCCCGCCUGGGGAGUACGGCCGCAAGGCUAAAACUCAAAGGAAUUGACGGGGGCCCGUCACAAGCGGCGGAGCAUAGCGGGAUUAAUUCGAUGCAACGCGAAGAACCUUACCAAGGCUUGACAUACACCGGAAACGGCCAGAGAUGGUCGCCCCCUUGUGGUCGGUGUACAGGUGGUGCAUGGUUGUCGUCCAGCUCGUGUCGUGAGAUUGUUGGGUUAAGUCCCGCAACGAGCCGCAACCCUCGUUCUAUGUUGCCAGCGGGUUAUGCCGGGGACUCAUAGGAGACUGCCGGGGUCAACUCGGAGGAAGGUGGGGAUGACGUCAAAUCAUCAUGCCCCUUAUGUCUUGGGCUUCACGCAUGCUACAAUGGCCGGUACAAAGGGCUGCGAUACCGUAAGGUGGAGCGAAUCCCAAAAAGCCGGUCUCAGUUCGGAUUGAGGUCUGCAACUCGACCUCAUGAAGUCGGAGUCGCUAGUAAUCGCAGAUCAGCAACGCUGCGGUGAAUACGUUCCCGGGCCUUGUACACACCGCCCGUCAAGUCAUGAAAGUCGGUAACACCCGAAGCCGGUGGCC